UCCCCCAGUCUGGCCACAGAGC
rnacentral:miRNA from 1 species